rnacentral:rRNA from 1 species
AGUGAACGCUGGCGGUAGGCCUAACACAUGCAAGUCGAACGGCAGCACCAUAAGCGCUUGCUCAUACGGGUGGCGAGUGGCGGACGAGUGGGGAAUAAAUCGGCAUCUACUUUUUCGUGGGGGCGGACGUAGGGAAACUUACGCUAAUACCGCAUAAGUCCUACGGGUGAAAGCAGGGGAACUUCGGACCUUGCGCGAUUGAAUGAGCCGCUGUCGGAUUAGCUAGGUGGCGGGGUAAAGGCACACCAAGGCGACGAUCCGCAGCUGGUCUGAGAGGUGGAUCAGUCACACUGGAACGGAGCCACGGACCUGACUCCUACGGGAGGCAGCAGUGGGGAAUAUUGGGCAACGGUCGCAAGCCUUGUCCAGUGAUAGCGCGUGGGUGACGGAGGCCUUCGGGUUGUAAAGCCCUUUUUUGGGGAAAGAAAAGCAGCAGGUUAAGACGCCGCUGUUCUGACGGUACCUACAGAAGAAGCACCGGCUAACUUCGUG